GCCAUGCCGCGUGCAGUGAUGAAGCAUCUUCUGGUGUUGUAAACUGCUUUUAUACAGGAAAAAACACUCCCUCGUGAGGGAGCUUGACGGUACUGUACGAAUAAAGAUCGGCUAACUCCGUGCCAGCCCCCGCGGUAAUACGGAGGAUCCAAGCGUUAUCCGGAAUCAUUGGGUUUAAAGGGUCCGUAGGCGGCCCUGUAAGUCAGUGGUGAAAUCUCCCCGCUCAACGGGGAAACGGCCAUUGAUACUGCAGGGCUUGAAUUAUUGGGAAGUAACUAGAAUAUGUUGUGUAGCGGUGAAAUGCUUAGAUAUUACAUGGAAUACCGAUUGCGAAGGCAGGUUACUACCAAUGGAUUGACGCUGAUGGACGAAAGCGUGGGUAGCGAACAGGAUUAGAUACCCUGGUAGUCCACGCCGUAAACGAUGGAUACUAGCUGUUCGGCGCAAGCUGAGUGGCUAAGCGAAAGUGAUAAGUAUCCCACCUGGGGAGUACGUUCGCAAGAAUGAAACUCAAAGGAAUUGACGGGGGCCCGCACAAGCGGUGGAGCAUGUGGUUUAAUUCGAUGAUACGCGAGGAACCUUACCAGGGCUUAAAUGUAGUCUGACAGGACUGGAAACAGUU
rnacentral:rRNA from 1 species